rnacentral:rRNA from 1 species
GACGAACGCUGGCGGCGUGCUUAACACAUGCAAGUCGUGCGGUAAGGCCCUUUCGGGGGUACACGAGCGGCGAACGGGUGAGUAACACGUGAGCAACCUGCCCUUCACUUUGGGAUAACUGCCGGAAACGGUGGCUAAUACCGGAUAUGACUUCCUCACGCAUGUGGGGUGGUGGAAAGCCUUCGGGUGGUGGGGGAUGGGCUCGCGGUCUAUCCGCUUGUUGGUGGGGUGAUGGCCUACCAAGGCUUCGACGGGUAGCCGGCCUGGGAGGGUGACCGGCCACACUGGGCCUGAGACACGGCCCAGACUGCUACGGGAGGCAGCAGUGGGGAAUAUUGGACAAUGGGCGAAAGCCUGAUCCAGCAACGCCGCGUGAGGGAUGACGGCCUUCGGGGUGUAAACCUCUUUCGCCUGCGACGAAGCGAGAGUGACGGUAGCAGGUAAAGAAGCACCGGCCAACUACGUG